rnacentral:rRNA from 1 species
GAUGAACGCUGGCGGCGUGCCUAAUACAUGCAAGUCGAGCGAACAGACGAGGAGCUUGCUCCUCUGACGUUAGCGGCGGGCGGGUGAGUAACACGUGGAUAACCUACCUAUAAGACUGGGAUAACUUCGGGAAACCGGAGCUAAUACCGGAUAACAUGUUGAACCGCAUGGUUCAACAGUGAAAGACGGUCUUGCUGUCACUUAUAGAUGGAUCCGCGCCGCAUUAGCUAGUUGGUAAGGUAACGGCUUACCAAGGCAACGAUGCGUAGCCGACCUGAGAGGGUGAUCGGCCACACUGGAACUGAGACACGGUCCAGACUCCUACGGGAGGCAGCAGUAGGGAAUCUUCCGCAAUGGGCGAAAGCCUGACGGAGCAACGCCGCGUGAGUGAAGAAGGUCUUCGGAUCGUAAAACUCUGUUAUUAGGGAAGAACAAAUGUGUAAGUAACUAUGCACAUCUUGACGGUACCUAAUCAGAAAGCCACGGCUAACUACGUG